rnacentral:ncRNA from 2 species
ACUUUUGCAGAGAAUUUUGGUUCCGUUAAACUUAAUUGUACGGAUUAAAAGGGAAUCUGGUGUAAGUCCAGAGCUGUUCCCGCAACUGUAAGCAUAGUGUCCAACUUUAAUUGGGCAUCUCUUUUGAAAAAGAGUUACUGUUCACUUCAUAACCACUGGUGAAAACUGGGAAGGUAAAACAGUAAAAUGCAAGUCAGGAGACCUGCCAAUUUCAUAACUAGAUA